AUUGAACGCUGGCGGCAGGCCUAACACAUGCAAGUCGAGCGAGUGGCGGACGGGUGAGUAAUGUAUGGGGAACUGCCCGAUGGAGGGGGAUCACUACUGGAAACGGUAGCUAAUACCGCAUACUAUCGGAUGUGCCCAUAUGGGAUUAGCUAGUAGGUGGGGUAAAGGCUCACCUAGGCGACGAUCCCUAGCUGGUCUGAGAGGAUGAUCAGCCACACUGGAACUGAGACACGGUCCAGACUCCUACGGGAGGCAGCAGUGGGGAAUAUUGCACAAGGGGCUCAAGCCUGAUGCAGCCAUGCCGCGUGUAUGAAGAAGGCCUUAGGGUUGUAAAGUACUUUCAGCGGGGAGGCGUUACCCGCAGAAGAAGCACCGGCUAACUCCGUGCCAGCAGCCGCGGUAAUUC
rnacentral:rRNA from 1 species